AUUGAACGCUGGCGGCAGGCCUAACACAUGCAAGUCGAGCGAGCGGCGGACGGGUGAGUAAUGUCUGGGAAACUGCCUGAUGGAGGGGGAUAACUACUGGAAACGGUAGCUAAUACCGCAUACCAUCAGAUGUGCCCAGAUGGGAUUAGCUAGUAGGUGGGGUAACGGCUCACCUAGGCGACGAUCCCUAGCUGGUCUGAGAGGAUGACCGGCCACACUGGAACUGAGACACGGUCCAGACGCCUACGGGAGGCAGCAGUGGGGAAUAUUGCACACUGGGCGCAAGCCUGAUGCCGCCAUGCCGCGUGUAUGAAGCAGGCCUCCGGGUUGUAAAGUACUUUCAGCGGGUAGGCGUAGGCCGCAGAAGAAGCACCGGCUAACUCCGUGCCAGCCGCCGCGGUAAUUC
rnacentral:rRNA from 1 species